rnacentral:rRNA from 1 species
UGCUAUACAUGCAAGUCGAACGAGUUUACUUUUAAUGAAGGCGGUGCUUGCACCAACUGAUUUAAAAAUAAACGAGUGGCGGACGGGUGAGUAACACGUGGGUAACCUACCCUAAAGUGGGGGAUAACAUUUGGAAACAGAUGCUAAUACCGCAUAAUAUUAAAAACCACAUGGUUUUUAAUUGAAAGACGGCGUAAGCUGUCACUUUUGGAUGGACCCGCGGCGUAUUAGCUAGUUGGUGAGGUAACGGCUCACCAAGGCGAUGAUACGUAGCCGACCUGAGAGGGUGAUCGGCCACAUUGGGACUGAGACACGGCCCAAACUCCUACGGGAGGCAGCAGUAGGGAAUCUUUCACAAUGGACGAAGGUCUGAUGGAGCAACGCCGCGUGAGUGAAGAAGGUUUUCGGAUCGUAAAACUCUGUUAUUGGAGAAGAACGUAUUUGGUAGUAACUGGCCAGAUAGUGACGGUAUCCAAUCAGAAAGCCACGGCUAACUACGUGCCAGCAGCCGCGGUAAUACGUAGGUGGCAAGCGUUGUCCGGAUUUAUUGGGCGUAAAGCGAGUGCAGGCGGUUUUUUAAGUCUGAUGUGAAAGCCUUCGGCUUAACCGAAGAAAUGCAUUGGAAACUGGGAAACUUGAGUGCAGAAGAGGAGAGUGGAACUCCAUGUGUAGCGGUGAAAUGCGUAGAUAUAUGGAAGAACACCAGUGGCGAAGGCGGCUCUCUGGUCUGUAACUG